CGCGCUUUUCCUCUUUCCGGUCCGUCUUACCCGAACUCGGUCUGGUUGGACCAACUCGCGCUCCAUCUCGGAAAGCCCGUACAUCGACACGGCGCGGCGGAGCCACAGGCUCUCGCCGGGCUCGCGGCGGCGGCGGCGGCGGCGCGCGGAGCAGCUCGCUGGCGAGCGCGCCUGCGCACCACCCGCAUGAGGGGGAGGCCACACGACGGCGGGAUCCGCCGCGCCGUCAAGAGAGACUGCUGAAAGAUCCUCAAUAGUGUGCAGUUUACUGAUUUCGAACAAGGAAAAAACAUAUCGUACCAAAGCAGACUCUCCUCUUGAGGGUGAUACUUGCCAUGCCCUUGAUACCAGUGGUUGUCGUACUCCUUUUGAGUUUGUUCACGUUGGUGGCCUAAUAAUUGAUUGGCCAACUAAAUCACUAUUAUAUCUUCAGCUUCAUGGUUACUGUCCACUAACACGUUAUGAACGGGUUGGUUUUCCAAAGGAGCAGUCUGGCUUGUCUAGAGAGUGAGGCACAGGCUUACAACAGCAUUCACAUUCAUUUCCUAAUGAGGUAAGCCUAUCAAUGUUCUCUGUUGGUUGGAUUCGUUUGUUUUAUGCACCAUUGAUCAAUUCGAAUGUCAAAGAAGCAACAACCAUGUUCUUUCCGUGACAACUUAAUGCUCAUCUUAGUUUAACUGUGUACUACAAGAAAGCAGUAAGGUUAACAAGGGUUGGUGGAGAGUAGAGGUUCUUCAUCUAGGUUCUUCAUCUAGGUUCUACAUGCCAGUAUUUAGCUGGUCACGUUUUUUAUCAUGUACAAUUUUUAUGUGAUUCUAGCACCAAGAUAGAAAAUUGUGUUGUUGGAUUAUGCUCCAAAAUCCCAGUUUCAGAUAAGAAAUGCUCAUCAUGUGAUAAUUCACCUACAUUCUUGGAUUUUUGUCAGAUUCAUUCUAGCCAGGGCUCAGUAAAAUGAUGUUGGUUUGACGGGAUACAAAGGCCUACAAACCUUCUCAAAAAGCAAUGUGAUUAAUGCCUUUUGUGUCAUGUGCGCGUUUGUUGAUUGUUGUAUUGCAAAUGAAGUCAAGCCUUCCUUUGCGCUGUACUUCUCCCAAGGGAACAGUUCGAUCCAAAAGUUUUCACAGAUGCAAAUUCCUUGAUGCCAUAGACAUUGGAUGCAGAUGAGCAUUCUAUCUCUCUCAGUCUUGACAUAGAUUCUGCAGUUGUAGCAAGAAAUCUCUGUUUGCUUGCUGGUUGGUCCACUUUUUAGGUGUUCUUAGGUAGGAAAAACAAGCCACAGUAUGGAUUUGUGAUAUUUUUUAGACAACAGGUCAACAGCAACAAUAGCGUCGUCGCUGUCUGUUAAGGAACAAUCCCAAGAGGCGCACUGCAAACAAGGAUACAGUUCAGG